AACCUCCCAGGAUCGCAUCUGGAGAGCUUCCCAUGCUCUUCCAGCUUCGGAUACGGGAGGGAGAGUAACUGUAGACAGAUACCCAUUCCUUUGCUGGCUUUGUAAUUGGCCAGUGAAUGGAAGAUACUCUGCAACAGGA